GUAUUAAUUUAAUUCUAUUUAGGUUUAGUACCUGCUGGAAUUGUUUAUUAAGUAACUACAUAUCAAUUUCUGUAGUUUGCCAUUGCAUUUUAUGUUUUAUUUAGUUUGGGGAAAUUUCUAUCUUUAAGAUAUAUACAUUUGUCUUAUUAUAUAACUUACUAAUGAAGGUUUUGCUCUGAUCCAUGAUCUUGUAAGACUGAAAGUUUCAUUGUGAUAAUUGUUUAGCAGUUACAGGGAUUGCAAAUGUUAGUCAUAACAGAACAAAAAUAUUUACAACACUAUCUUAAAUUUUUCUAUUGGUUUGAGAUGGUUCUCUAGCAGCAAUUUUCUCAGUUUCUCUAUGUAAAAUACAGGGUUUUGGAGAAGCAAAGUAUCUGGCUUUAGAACUCCUUACACUGCAAUAAUUGAUGCUUUACUAAAUGUGACUCAGUUAAGGGUGACAAUUGCUCUUGCAGUAUAUGCUAACUGGAGCUUUGAAGGAAUCAAGGGAAGGGGAUGGGAUUGGGCUGGUGUAAUCUAUCUAUUGUUUAUUUAGUGUUUCUUUAUGUUAAUAUCUCAAGUUUAAUAAAUAUGAUGUAAAGAAAAUAUGUUACAGUAAAGAGAAAUGGUAUAAACCAUUUGAGUAGUUAA